rnacentral:rRNA from 1 species
UACGAAGGGGGCUAGCGUUGUUCGGAAUCACUGGGCGUAAAGGGCGCGUAGGCGGCUUGAUAAGUCGGGGGGUGAAAGCCUGUGGCUCAACCACAGAAUUGCCUUCGAUACUGUCGAGCUUGAGACCGGAAGAGGUAAGUGGAACUGCGAGUGUAGAGGUGAAAAUUUCGUAGAUAUUCGCAAGAACACCAGUGGCGAAGGCGGCUUACUGGUCCGGUUCUGACGCUGAGGCGCGAAAGCGUGGGGAGCAAACAGG